GGGAGACCAAUACUGAUUUGAUGUCUGAAUUUUUAUUUUAGACCAUAAUCCUGUCACCUUAGGUCGAUCGGUAUCUCAGUUUGAUAAUGGUGAACUAAAGAAAUUAGUAGUGCUAACUUAUUAAAUUCAGUUCCUAAACUUUGUCUAGGUCACACCCAACAAAGGGUACUCCUGGGCCAUUAGCUCAGGUGGUUAGAGCGCACCCCUGAUAAGGGUGAGGUCCCUGGUUCAAGUCCAGGAUGGCCCAUUCGGUGUUGGGGGUAUAGCUCAGUUGGUAGAGCGCCUGCUUUGCAAGCAGGAUGUCAGCGGUUCGAGUCCGCUUACCUCCACUGAUCUACCUCCUUAUAACCAAUGCCUAUGGAUACUUUAUUUGUUAUGCGAUCUAGAAUUUGUUCUCUUUGAACGAACCUAGCUUCUUUUCAUUCCUAGCAAGAAACUAUUUCUUCUAGUUUAGGUUGAUAAGACGCUGGGCUCUCUGCAUAAUUAAUUCUUGCAGGGAUCUUCAGUAGAACCUUGACAACUGCAUAGGUAAGUCUGGAAAAAAUAAAGCAUCUCAUGGAUGCAUUAUUUUUAUCCAUAUAUAUUGGAAAAUUCUGUUUUUCAGAAUCACUAAUGUUUAUGGGUAGAAAAUAUAAUGUUUAAUUCUUGAGCAAGAGCCGAGACUCUAUAAUGUUCUUUCAAUUCACUAACUAUUGAUUGAGAGUUAGAUCUUUAAUUUUUAUCUUUAUGAUUUCAAAUUAAAGAGAAUAGUGCUAACCAACCACCAUGACUUUAUAGAGAUUAUAUGGUCAAGCUACAA
rnacentral:tRNA from 1 species